UACGGAGGAUCCGAGCGUUAUCCGGAUUCAUUGGGUUUAAAGGGUGCGUAGGUGGAAUUGUAAGUCAGUGGUGAAAUCCUGCAGCUUAACUGCAGAACUGCCAUUGAUACUGCAAAUCUUGAGUACAUUUGAUGAGGGCGGAAUGUGUCAUGUAGCGGUGAAAUGCUUAGAUAUGACACAGAACACCGAUUGCGAAGGCAGCUCUCAAAACUGUAACUGACACUGAGGCACGAAAGCGUGGGUAUCAAAC
rnacentral:rRNA from 1 species